rnacentral:rRNA from 1 species
UACGUAGGGUGCAAGCGUUAAUCGGAAUUACUGGGCGUAAAGCGCGCGUAGGCGGCUCUUCAAGUCGAGUGUGAAAGCUCCAGGCUUAACCUGGGAAUUGCGCUUGAUACUGUUGAGCUAGAGUGUGGAAGGGGCUACUGGAAUUCCGUGUGUAGCGGUGAAAAUGCGUAGAUAUACGGAGGAACACCAGCGGCGAAGGCGGGGUAGCUGGGGCCAACACUGACGCUGAUGUGCGAAAGCUAGGGGGAGCAAACGGG